GCAUCGGUGGUUUAGUGGUAAAAUUAGCCGUUGCCAUUCAUCUCUUUGAGACGAGCGACGUCGGCUAGCCCCGGGUUCGAUUCCCGGCCGAUGCA